CCUACGGGAGGCAGCAGUAGGGAAUCUUCCACAAUGGGCGAAAGCCUGAUGGAGCAACGCCGCGUGGGUGAAGAAGGUCUUCGGAUCGUAAAACCCUGUUGUUAGAGAAGAAAGUGCGUGAGAGUAACUGUUCACGUUUCGACGGUAUCUAACCAGAAAGCCACGGCUAACUACGUGCCAGCAGCCGCGGUAAUACGUAGGUGGCAAGCGUUAUCCGGAUUUAUUGGGCGUAAAGGGAACGCAGGCGGUCUUUUAAGGCUGAUGGGAAAGCCUUCGGCUUAACCGGAGUAGUGCAUUGGAAACUGGUAGACUUGAGUGCAGAAGAGGAGUGUGGAACUCGUGGUGUAGCGGUGAAAUGCGUAGAUAUAUGGAAGAACACCAGUGGCGAAAGCGGCUCUCUGGUCUGUAACUGACGCUGAGGUUCGAAAGCGUGGGGAGCAAACAGGAUUAGAUACCCCAGUAGUC
rnacentral:rRNA from 1 species